ACGGUCCUAAGGUAGCGAAAUUCCUUGUCGGGUAAGUUCCGACCUGCACGAAUGGUGUAACCAUGGCCACGCUGUCUCCACCCGAGACUCAGUGAAAUUGAAAUCGCAGUGAAGAUGCUGUGUACCCGCACCUAGACGGAAAGACCCCGUGAACCUUUACUACAGCUUGGCACUGAACAUUGAACCUACAUGUGUAGGAUAGGUGGGAGGCUUUGAAGCACAGUCGCUAGAUUGUGUGGAGCCGUCCUUGAAAUACCACCCUUGUAUGUUUGAUGUUCUAACAUUGUUCCCUUAUCGGGAAUGUGGACAGUGUCUGGUGGGUAGUUUGACUGGGGCGGUCUCCUCCCAAAUAGUAACGGAGGAGCACGAAGGUUAGCUAAUCACGGUCGGACAUCGUGAGGUUAGUGCAAUGGCAUAAGCUAGCUUAACUGCGAGACAGACACGUCGAGCAGGUACGAAAGUAGGUCAUAGUGAUCCGGUGGUUCUGUAUGGAAGGGCCAUCGCUCAACGGAUAAAAGGUACUCCGGGGAUAACAGGCUGAUACCGCCCAAGAGUUCAUAUCGACGGCGGUGUUUGGCACCUCGAUGUCGGCUCAUCACAUCCUGGGGCUGAAGCCGGUCCCAAGGGUAUGGCUGUUCGCCAUUUAAAGUGGUACGCGAGCUGGGUUUAGAACGUCGUGAGACAGUUCGGUCCCUAUCUGGUGUGGGCGUUGGAUGAUUGAUGGGAGCUGCUCCUAGUACGAGAGGACCGGAGUGGACGAACCGCUGGUGUUCGGGUUGUCAUGCCAAUGGCAUUGCCCGGUAGCUAUGUUCGGAACGGAUAACCGCUGAAAGCAUCUAAGCGGGAAGCCGGCCCAAAGAUGAGUCAUCCCUGACCUUUAAGGUCUGGAAGGGUUGUUAUAGACGAUGACGUUGAUAGGCAGGGUGUGGAAGCGUUGUAAGGCGUUAAGCUAACCUGUACUAAUUGCCCGAGAGGCUUAACCAU
rnacentral:rRNA from 1 species